AUUGAACGCUGGCGGCAGGCCUAACACAUGCAAGUCGAACGGUAGCACAGAGAGCUUGCUCUCGGGUGACGAGUGGCGGACGGGUGAGUAAUGUCUGGGAAACUGCCUGAUGGAGGGGGAUAACUACUGGAAACGGUAGCUAAUACCGCAUAACGUCGCAAGACCAAAGAGGGGGACCUUCGGGCCUCUUGCCAUCAGAGUUGCCCAGAUGGGAUUAGCGAGUAGGUGGGGUAAUGGCUCACCUAGGCGACGAUCCCUAGCUGGUCGGAGAGGAUGACCAGCCACACUGGAACUGAGACACGGUCCAGACUCCUACGGGAGGCAGCAGUGGGGAAUAUUGCACAAUGGGCGCAAGCCUGAUGCAGCCAUGUCGCGUGUAUGAAGAAGGCCUUCGGGUUGUAAAGUACUUUCAGCGGGGAGGAAGGUGUUGCGGUUAAUAACCGCAGCAAUUGACGUUACCCGCAGAAGAAGCACCGGCUAACUCCGUGCCAGCAGCCGCCGUAA
rnacentral:rRNA from 1 species